AUGAAUUGUUUCAGAGGGUUGAUGCUGGUAGUCUUUUUCUGGCUGCAUGUGCUCGCUUUCGACAAUCCUUAUCCAUACACCUGUGCACCUCUUGAGGAUUUUCUGUGAAUGCAGAUCAUUCUCUUUACCACAAAACCCCUUCAUAAUCUUGAAUGUAAUAUGUGCCAUUGAGGCCUUAUAAUAAUA
rnacentral:misc_RNA from 1 species